rnacentral:rRNA from 1 species
UUAAAUCAGUUAUCGUUUAUUUGAUAGUACCUUACUACUUGGAUAACCGUGGUAAUUCUAGAGCUAAUACAUGCUGAAAACCCCAACUUCGGGAGGGGUGUAUUUAUUAGAUAAAAAACCAACGCCCUUCGGGGCUUCUUGGUGAUUCAUGAUAACUUUACGGAUCGCAUGGCCUUGCGCCGGCGACGGUUCAUUCAAAUUUCUGCCCUAUCAACUUUCGAUGGUAAGGUAUUGGCUUACCAUGGUUUCAACGGGUAACGGGGAAUUAGGGUUCGAUUCCGGAGAGGGAGCCUGAGAAACGGCUACCACAUCCAAGGAAGGCAGCAGGCGCGCAAAUUACCCAAUCCCGACACGGGGAGGUAGUGACAAUAAAUACUGAUACAGGGCUCUUUUGGGUCUUGUAAUUGGAAUGAGUACAAUUUAAACCUCUUAACGAGGAACAAUUGGAGGGCAAGUCUGGUGCCAGCAGCCGCGGUAAUUCCAGCUCCAAUAGCGUAUAUUAAAGUUGUUGCAGUUAAAAAGCUCGUAGUUGAACCUUGGGUCUGGCUGGCAGGUCCGCCUCACCGCGUGUACUUGUCCGGCCGGGCCUUCCUUCUGGAGAACCUCAUGCCCUUCACUGGGCGUGUUGGGGACCAGGACUUUUACUUUGAAAAAAUUAGAGUGUUCAAAGCAGGCCUUUGCUCGAAUACGUUAGCAUGGAAUAAUAGAAUAGGACGUGCGGUCCUAUUUUGUUGGUUUCUAGGACCGCCGUAAUGAUUAAUAGGGACAGUCGGGGGCAUCAGUAUUCAAUUGUCAGAGGUGAAAUUCUUGGAUUUAUUGAAGACUAACUACUGCGAAAGCAUUUGCCAAGGAUGUUUUCAUUAAUCAGUGAACGAAAGUUAGGGGAUCGAAGACGAUCAGAUACCGUCGUAGUCUUAACCGUAAACUAUG